rnacentral:rRNA from 1 species
UACGAGGGGUGCAAGCGUUAUUCGGAAUGAUUGGGCGUAAAGGGUGCGUAGGCGGUGCGUAAAGUCUGUCGUUAAAGCCCCUGGCUUAACUAGGGAUGUGCGGCGGAUACUAACGUGCUAGAGGAUGGAAGAGAAAAGCGGAACUCUCGGAGUAGCGGUAAAAUGCUUAGAUCCCGAGAGGAACACCAAUGGCGAAGGCAGCUUUUUGGUCCAUUCCUGACGCUGAGGCACGAAAGCGUGGGGAGCAAACAGG